CAUUCUUCUACUGCUGUUUUUUAAAAAAAAAACUUUUAAACCCCCUCCCAUUUCAUUUCCUCUGCUAGGGUUAGAAGGCCUAGCCUUGUGCCGUCACCGGAUUUCCUCACCGCUUGCCAUGUUACCACUGUCUCGGUAGCCGACGACGCGUGAAGGCGGGCUUUUAGCCCUGUUUCGAGGCUUCCCUGAAGGCCAUGCCUUCUCGGGCUAAGAAGUGCACGAGAGAAAGGUCUUUCUCUUCCCCAUUCGAUGCGACCCUGACAACGGAAGAGGGACCUCCGGCGAUGAACUUUGGUCGAUUCCCCGGUGAGACCCUCUUCCCUUUUCUCUUUACGCUUUUAGGUCUACUUUAUUUAAUAGAUUUGCAAGUGAGAAUAAAAAGAAAUUACAAAAGAAAUUAACAAUGAAAUGAAAAACAAAGAGAAUAGAUCGGAAAUCAACCAUUUUUAUGUGUUUUUCUUUUGAUUUCGAUUGCUAAAAAUUCGUAAAAAAAAACAAAGGAAACGAAAGUUGCUUUUAUAGCCGAAUACAUAUGCUUGUUCUCAUUCUAUUUUGUCUGUUUCUUCCUUGUUUUUUUUUUGCUUUGUUAUUUUGCUAUAUUUUUGUCCUUUUGUUCGUUGUUUUCUCUUAUUUGUGUGUUGGACUUCGUUGUUACAGGUGACAUGGGCGGUCAGACGCGUGCGAGAAGGUUGCCGGUGGUGGUGGUGGCCAUUGGUGAGGAGUGCGCCGGCUGAAACUGAAGGAGGCUAGGGUUAGGGUGUGUUGCUGAAAUGUUUUGGGUAGUUGGGCUUUAGAGUUUUGAUAAUUUGGGCUAGUUUGGUUUAGUAGUGGGCUGAUGGGGUUUGGGUAGUUUAUAAUUUGGGCUAGGUGACUCUUGGAAUUUAUUUUUAUUUAUUGUAUUUGGUGUUUUAUUUUGGUUUGUUGGAAUGGGCCAAAAUUGGCUGCUACAAGUGCGAUAUGUGUUUAGAGGAAUCUUAGUACUUUGAAGGUGACAGAAAUUGUGACUUGUUUCUGAAUUUGUUGAAAAUGGUUUUUACCCCAUGAAGUGGUGGUAGGAAAUAUAGCCUUAGAGGAAGGAAAGAUUGCGAAAUUGGAAUUAGCUGAGGAGACAAAACAAGACCUUGUUGAGACUAUUAUGGGAAUUCAAAAAUGUGGUCCAAAGACGCAUACAUGAGGAUUUGCAAUUGCCAGGAUAAACAUGAGGUUUUGGGGCACUGUUGGUCCACCAUGGAAAGAGAUCGCAUCAGUUGUACAAUGAAUGCCAAAUUUAAAGGAGCUAAGACUUAUGGGGCAUGUAUGUUAUGGGCCCGAGCUCGUCAAAAGUUUCAAGUUGACAAUGACUCAUCUUUGUGGACGUCAACUACUCCAUUAAGAGGGGGAGAUAGCUUCAUAUGCAAAUAUUACAAAGUCAAAAGUCAUCCAUUUCAAAAAAAAAGAAAAAGAAAAAGAAGAAGAUUAUAUAUAAUUGCAUAAUGCCAAAAGUUUGCAAUCUUUUCAAAGAUAAUGCGCGAUACCACAGUACAACAAAGGUUGCCAAAAGAAAAGAAAAAAGAAGAAAAAAAACAAAUUACAGAAAAUGACCGAGACUGGUAAAAAUUGGCAUAAGAAACUAUCGCCCACUUUCUAUGCUUACGCUGGGGCAAACACCUUCAAUUCCAGUUGUUUCAAAGGUUCCAACCAUCAUCCUUGGAAUGGGUGCAUUGUUUGGCUUUCCUGAGCAGUCUGAUGUGCCGUCAACAGCUGCGAUGGUUAGCUCCAGGUGGUGGCCAUUG
rnacentral:lncRNA from 1 species